UACAGAGGGGGCAAGCGUUGUUCGGAAUUACUGGGCGUAAAGGGCGCGUAGGCGGCCUGCUAAGUCGAACGUGAAAUCCCCGAGCUCAACUCGGGAACUGCGUCCGAUACUGGCAGGCUUGAAUCCGGGAGAGGGAUGCGGAAUUCCAGGUGUAGCGGUGAAAUGCGUAGAUAUCUGGAGGAACACCGGUGGCGAAGGCGGCAUCCUGGACCGGCAUUGACGCUGAGGCGCGAAAGCUAGGGGAGCAAACGGG
rnacentral:rRNA from 1 species